CACGUAGGGCGCGAGCGUUGUCCGGCAUUAUUGGGCGUAAAGAGCUCGUAGGCGGCCUGUUGCGUCCGCUGUGAAAGCCCGGGGCUUAACCCCGGGUCUGCAGUGGAUACGGGCAGGCUAGAGGUAGGUAGGGGAGAAUGGAAUUCCCGGUGUAGCGGUGAAAUGCGCAGAUAUCGGGAGGAACACCGGUGGCGAAGGCGGUUCUCUGGGCCUUACCUGACGCUGAGGAGCGAAAGCGUGGGGAGCGAACAGG
rnacentral:rRNA from 1 species